CACGUAGGGUGCGGAGCGUUGUCCGGAAUUAUUGGGCGUAAAGGAGCUCGUAGGCGGUGUGUCGCGUCGGCCGUGAAAACCUGCAGCUUAACUGUGGGCUUGCGGUCGAUACGGGCAUCACUGGAGUUCGGCAGGGGAGACUGGAAUUCCUGGUGGUAGCGGUGAAAUGCGCAGAUAUCUGGAGGAACACCGGUGGCGAAGGCGGCAUCCUGGACCGGUAUUGACGCUGAGGCGCGGAAAGCUAGGGGAGCAAACGGGG
rnacentral:rRNA from 1 species